rnacentral:rRNA from 1 species
UUGUUCUCAGACUAGCCAUGCACGUCUAGUACAAACUAAAUGAUGGUGAAACUGCAAAUGGCUCAUUACAACGGUUAUGAUGUACCCGGGAGUUCCGAUGGAUAUUUCCAGUAACACUAGAACUAAUACAUGUCCCUGCGUUUAUUAGUUUCGCACAGUCCGUCGCUGAGUCAUGGUAAACAGUUGAUCGACUCGACGUCCCGGAACAGUUUCCGCCCCAUCAGCUUCGAUGGUUGGGUAUUGGCCUACCUUUGCAACAACGGGUAACGAGGAAUUAGGGUUUGAUUUCGGAGAGGGAGCCUGAGAAACGGCUACCACAUCUACGGAUGGCAACAGGCGCGCAAAUUACCCAAUGCAGACACUGUGAGGUAGUGACGAGAAAUAAUAAAGCGGGACUUCUGUUUCGCUAUUAUAAUGAGGAAUAACCAAAGGUCAUUCCGAUUAGCAACUGAUGGGAAAGUCUGGUGCCAGCAGCCGCGGUAAUACCAGCGUCAGUAGCA